rnacentral:lncRNA from 1 species
GGUAUAUCAGAUUCUUCCAUAAACAUCUGUAACAGCUGUACAAGGGAUCCCAGACUAGCUGACCUUUCUUCUUUUGCAGUCUGAGGGUGGAAAUGAGAACAUAAUCACCCAUGAUGAGCUGGCUGAGCAAAGUUGGGCCAAGCCAUCAAAUGCAGCUGUUGGCUUUCCACGGGAAUCAUCUCUCUUGCCUCCCAGUACACUUCAGGAGGAGCAAAAAGGUCACUUUCCCUGAAGAGGAACCACCUUUAAGAAUCAGACCACCUUCAUCUUUAAAUAUUUGA